AGCGAUACAAGCGGGCGCUUGGGGCCUCCUGACCGCCAGGGGGCCCCCUAUCGGAAAAAAAAAAUUAUAAUUAAAAAUAAUUAAAAAUAAUAAUAAUAAUAAUAUUAAAUAACUUAAACAAGUGACCUGAUUGAAUGAAAUAAAGAAUACAUCUAUACAAGAAAAUUCUGAUUUUACGAUCAAUAUAUCUGCCAGCGUUCAAGUCAUGCAUAUCAACUGCGUGCUCAAUCUGCUGACAGAUAAUUCGCGGUCAUAGACAGACACUGCAUAAUACUCAAGGUUAAGUUGGAAGGGACAUAUAUAAGCAUGUCAUCUAAAAGGACGUAUCUCUCUGGUGCCCAAAAACGGAAAAAGAAAAGGACAGAAGAUGAGAAAAAAGAGCAAGAUAAAGGAACACUGUUGAAGUAUUUUGGAGCACAACCAACUGUACCUGCCCCCGAUGUGUCAUCAAGUGUCAGUGCCUCCACAGCUGAUGAUACAGCAGGUGAGGUUUUUCUUGAUGGCAAAUGGCUACAUAGUCUUUUAAUAUGACAUGACACAUUUAAAAAAAAACCUCACAAAACGAGAUGUGUGAGGUUUACCCAAAUCUUUGGGUAGCUCUCAGGAUAGCCUGCACUCUGCCUGUGACAGUUGCCUCAGCAGAGAGGAGCUUUUCCAAGCUAAAAUUAAUUAAAACAUACCUGAGAUCAUCGAUGGCUCAGGAAAGAUUAAGUGGACUUUCUGUUAUUAGUAUUAAUAGCAAAGUUGGCCAAGCAAUAUCAUAUAAUGAUGUCAUCAAUGACUUUGCCUCCCAAAAAGCUAGGAAGGAAAGAUUUUGAGGACAGUUACAUUGUAUUGAGACAGUUGGGAAUAUUUUCACAAUAAUUGAUUGUUGAACCCUUGCUGUCAUGUUACUGACUUAUCAGUUUUGUUAUUAUCGUUUAUUUGAAUGUUUUGAAACAGUUUGAUUUUAGAAGUUCCAAAUAGUUAGUUUAAAAGGUUAAUUGAAUACUGAGUCACUUUCAUUAUUUAAUCUAUGUAUCUAUGUAACGUUCUAUUUUUUAUUAUAUUCAUGCUUGUCUAUUUUGGUUUUAUUUUGUAAUUGGAAAUUGCUAACUUAAUACGCAUUUGCACAGUUGCAAAUUAUUUAUUUAAUAUGUUUGUGAUCGUUUGUUUGGAAUACAGAGGCACUAUCAUUAUUUAUUUUUUAUUUUUUAAUGUUAUUUUUGAUAAUACUAAUGUUUGUGUAUUUUGAUUUCAGUUUAAGAUUGCACAUUUACAAAUCUGUUGAAAGAUCUGUUUAUUAAACUGAUACUUUAAAAAAAAAUACAAAUGCUGUUGUAUUUAAUUAUUUUACAAUUUAACUUCAGUAAACCACACUUGAUGCUUUACUUUGAAUAUGAAAGUUUAAAAUAAAUCUGUGAUCUAAGUGCCCUCUAAGGUUAAAAGGUGACUGUUUUGGUGUAAAUAACGACUAUAAUAAUACAGGGGUCUAUCAAGGGACAAAAGUCUAGAAUAUUUUUGGCAUGAGAGCAACUGAAUGAGCCUUCCAGGCCCAAGAGGUCAAGGGGCACUGAAGCCCAAGCCCAAGUCACCAUCUCAAUAAGUCAAAAAGCAAAAUGCUAUGAAUAUGCUUAAAUUUAGGUAUUUCCCUUCUCCAGCUGGCCAUAUAAAAAAUA